CCUACGGGAGGCAGCAGUGAGGAAUAUUGGACAAUGGAGGCAACUCUGAUCCAGCCAUGCCGCGUGCAGGAAGACUGCCCUAUGGGUUGUAAACUGCUUUUAUACAGGAAGAAACAUCUCUACGUGUAGAGACUUGACGGUACUGUAAGAAUAAGGAUCGGCUAACUCCGUGCCAGCAGCCGCGGUAAUACGGAGGAUCCAAGCGUUAUCCGGAAUCAUUGGGUUUAAAGGGUCCGUAGGUGGAUGAUUAAGUCAGAGGUGAAAGUUUGCAGCUCAACUGUAAAAUUGCCUUUGAUACUGGUUAUCUUGAAUUAUUGUGAAGUAGUUAGAAUAUGUAGUGUAGCGGUGAAAUGCAUAGAUAUUACAUAGAAUACCAAUUGCGAAGGCAGAUUACUAACAAUCAAUUGACACUGAUGGACGAAAGCGUAGGUAGCGAACGGGAUUAGAUACCCCGGUAGUCUACGCCGUAAACGAUGGAUACUAGCUGUUGGACUUCGGUUCAGUGGCUAAGCGAAAGUGAUAAGUAUCCCACCUGGGGAGUACGUUCGCAAGAAUGAAACUCAAGGAAUUGACGG
rnacentral:rRNA from 1 species